rnacentral:misc_RNA from 1 species
GAUGAAGAACGUAGCGAAAUGCGAUACGUAAUGUGAAUUGCAGAAUUCAGUGAAUCAUCGAAUCUUUGAACGCACAUUGCGCCUGCCAGCACUCUGGCAGGCAUGCCUGUUCGAGCGUCAUUUCAACCAUCAAGCCCUAGGCUUGCGUUGGAGCCCUGCGGCUGCCGCAGGCCCCUAAAAGCAGUGGCGGGCUCGCUAUCACACCGAGUGCAGUAGAUUACUCUUCGCUCAGGGCGUGUGGCGGGUUCCAGCCGUGAAACCCCCUACUUCUCAAGGUUGACCUCGGAUCAGGUAGGAAUACCCGCUGAACUUAAGCAUAUCAAUGCGGAGGA